GAAAAAUUAGUUAAAUCAUAAUGCAAGCUUGUCAAGCUUGAGUUGUCCUUAGGACAUUUUUCU
rnacentral:tRNA from 1 species